AGACCCGAAACCCGGUGAUCUAGCCAUGGGCAGGUUGAAGGUUGGGUAACACUAACUGGAGGACCGAACCGACUAAUGUUGAAAAAUUAGCGGAUGACCUGUGGCUGGGGGUGAAAGGCCAAUCAAACCGGGAGAUAGCUGGUUCUCCCCGAAAGCUAUUUAGGUAGCGCCUCGUGAAUUCAUCUCCGGGGGUAGAGCACUGUUUCGGCUAGGGGGCCAUCCCGGCUUACCAACCCGAUGCAAACUGCGAAUACCGGAGAAUGUUAUCACGGGAGACACACGGCGGGUGCUAACGUCCGUCGUGAAGAGGGAAACAACCCAGACCGCCAGCUAAGGUCCCAAAGUCAUGGUUAAGUGGGAAACGAUGUGGGAAGGCCCAGACAGCCAGGAUGUUGGCUUAGAAGCAGCCAUCAUUUAAAGAAAGCGUAAUAGCUCACUGGUCGAGUCGGCCUGCGCGGAAGAUGUAACGGGGCUAAACCAUGCACCGAAGCUGCGGCAGCGAACGUAUCACUUAAAGCGAUUCAGCGGGUUACGAUUGACGGAGCGAAGCGACGUCAAAGCGUAUACAAAGUCGAGUCGGUUUAAGGAUACGUUCGUUGGGUAGG
rnacentral:rRNA from 1 species